GGAGGGUGCAAGCGUUGUUCGGAAUUAUUGGGCGUAAAGCGAGUGUAGGUGGUCGAAUAAGUCGGAUGUGAAAGCCCUGGGCUUAACCUGGGAAUUGCAUUCGAUACUGUUUGGCUAGAGUCUGAUAGAGGGAAGUGGAAUUCCAGGUGUAGCGGUGAAAUGCGUAGAUAUCUGGAGGAACAUCAGUGGCGAAGGCGGCUUCCUGGAUCAAGACUGACACUGAGGCUCGAAAGCGUGGGGAGCAAACAGGAUUAGAUACCCUGGUAGUCCACGCCUUAAACUAUGAAUACUAAGUGUCGGCAGUUUACUGCCGGUGCCGCAGCUAACGCAUUAAGUAUUCCGCCUGGGAAGUACGGCCGCAAGGUUG
rnacentral:rRNA from 1 species